rnacentral:rRNA from 1 species
UACGGAGGAGGCAAGCGUUAUCCGGAAUUACUGGGCGUAAAGCGCCCGCAGGUGGAAUUCUAAGUCUGCUGUCAAAGAUCGGAGCUCAACUCUGGGAAGUCGGAAGAAACUGGAAAACUAGAGUACGGUAGAGGUGGGUGGAAUUCCGAGUGUAGUGGUGAAAUGCGUAGAGAUUGGGAAGAACACCAGUGGCGAAGGCGGUAUACUGGACCAUAACUGACGCUCAGAGACGAAAGCAAGGGGAGCGAAAGGG